UACAGAGGGGGCAAGCGUUAUUCGGAAUUAUUGGGCGUAAAGGGCGCGUAGGCGGCUACACAAGUGGCGGGUGAAAUCCCUCGGCUUAACCGAGGAACUGCCUGCCAGACUGUGUGGCUUGAGACCGGGAGAGGUGAGUGGAAUUCCCAGUGUAGCGGUGAAAUGCGUAGAUAUCGGGAGGAACACCAGUGGCGAAGGCGGACUUCCUGGCCUGUUCUUGACGCUGAGGCGCGAAAGCUAGGGGAGCAAACGGG
rnacentral:rRNA from 1 species